GGGUUGUGAGGUUAAGCGACUAAGCGUACACGGUGGAUGCCCUGGCAGUCAGAGGCGAUGAAGGGCGUGCUAAUCUGCGAUAAGCGCCGGUAAGGUGAUAUGAACCGUUAUAACCGGCGAUACCCGAAUGGGGAAACCCAGUGUGACUCGUCACACUAUCAUUAACUGAAUCCAUAGGUUAAUGAGGCGAACCGGGGGAACUGAAACAUCUAAGUACCCCGAGGAAAAGAAAUCAACCGAGAUUCCCCCAGUAGCGGCGAGCGAACGGGGAGGAGCCCAGAGCCUGAAUCAGCAUGUGUGUUAGUGGAAGCGU
rnacentral:rRNA from 3 species